rnacentral:rRNA from 1 species
GUGGGGAAUAUUGGACAAUGGGCGAAAGCCUGAUCCAGCCAUGCCGCGUGUGUGAAGAAGGUCUUCGGAUUGUAAAGCACUUUAAGUUGGGAGGAAGGGUAGUAACCUAAUACGUUGCUACUUUGACGUUACCGACAGAAUAAGCACCGGCUAACUUCGUGCCAGCAGCCGCGGUAAUACGAAGGGUGCAAGCGUUAAUCGGAAUUACUGGGCGUAAAGCGCGCGUAGGUGGUUCAGUAAGUUGGAAGUGAAAUCCCCGGGCUCAACCUGGGAACUUCUUUCAAAACUGCUGAGCUAGAGUACGGUAGAGGGUGGUGGAAUUUCCUGUGUAGCGGUGAAAUGCGUAGAUAUAGGAAGGAACACCAGUGGCGAAGGCGACCACCUGGACUGAUACUGACACUGAGGUGCGAAAGCGUGGGGAGCAAACAGGAUUAGAAACCCUUGUAGUCC